rnacentral:rRNA from 1 species
AUACAUGCAAGUUGAGCGGACUGAUGGGAGCUUGCUCCCUGAAGUCAGCGGCGGACGGGUGAGUAACACGUGGGUAACCUGCCUGUAAGACUGGGAUAACUCCGGGAAACCGGGGCUAAUACCGGAUAGUUCUUUUCCUCGCAUGAGGAAAAGUGGAAAGGCGGCUUCGGCUGCCACUUACARAUGGACCCGCGGCGCAUUAGCUAGUUGGUGAGGUAACGGCUCACCAAGGCAACAAUGCGUAGCCGACCUGAGAGGGUGAUCGGCCACACUGGGACUGAGACACGGCCCAGACUCCUACGGGAGGCAGCAGUAGGGAAUCUUCCGCAAUGGACGAAAGUCUGACGGAGCAACSCCGCGUGAGUGAUGAAGGUUUUCGGAUCGUAAAGCUCUGUUGUUAGGGAAUAACAAGUGCCGUUCGAAUAGGGCGGCGCCUUGACGGUACCUAACCAGAAAGCCACGGCUAACUACGUGCCAGCAGCCGCGGUAAUACGUAGGUGGCAAGCGUUGUUCCGAAUUAUUGGGCGUAAAGCGCGCGCAGCGUCUCUUAAGUCUGAUGUGAAAGCCCACGGCUCACCGUGGAGGGUCAUUGGAAACUGGGGGACUUGGUACAGAAAGGAAAGUGGAAUUCACGUGUGCGGUGAAAUGCSU